AUUGAACGCUGGCGGCAUGCCUUACACAUGCAAGUCGAACGGUAACGGGCCUUCGGGUGCCGACGAGUGGCGAACGGGUGCGUAAUACAUCGGAACGUGCCCGAUCGUGGGGGAUAACGAGGCGAAAGCUUUGCUAAUACCGCAUACGAUCUACGGAUGAAAGCAGGGGACCGCAAGGCCUUGCGCGGACGGAGCGGCCGAUGGCAGAUUAGGUAGUUGGUGGGAUAAAAGCUUACCAAGCCGACGAUCUGUAGCUGGUCUGAGAGGAUGAUCAGCCACACUGGGACUGAGACACGGCCCAGACUCCUACGGGAGGCAGCAGUGGGGAAUUUUGGACAAUGGGCGCAAGCCUGAUCCAGCCAUGCCGCGUGAAGGAUGAAGGCCUUCGGGUUGUAAACUGCUUUUGUACGGAACGAAAAGCCUUCUUUUAAUACAGGAGGGUCAUGACGGUACCGUAAGAAUAAGCACCGGCUAACUACGUG
rnacentral:rRNA from 1 species